rnacentral:misc_RNA from 1 species
AACGCACAUUGCGCCCGCCAGUAUUCUGGCGGGCAUGCCUGUUCGAGCGUCAUUUCAACCCUCAAGCCCCUCCGGGCUUGGCGUUGGGGAUCGGCCUCCGCUCCGGCGGCCGGCCCCGAAAUCGAGUGGCGGUCCCGCCGCGGCUUCCUCUGCGUAGUAAAACACCUCGCACUGGGACGCGGCGCGGCCACGCCGUAAAUCAGACGAAUCUUUCUGAAGGUUGACCUCGGAUCAGGUAGGAAUACCCGCUGAACUUAA